GGUCCCGUGUGGCUCAGUUGGUAGAGCAUGGUGCUUGGAACGCCAGGGUUGUAGGUUCGACUCCCACAGGGGACCA